AUGAUGGCCGUGUAGAAUGGGUGAUGGGAGAAGGCGCCUCGAUGCUUUCUUCUGUGAGCCUGACUGAGCGAGAGAGAUGC